rnacentral:lncRNA from 1 species
AUGACGACCCUCACUUUUACAAAUAACAAUAAAGAUUUGCCAUACAUUACAUUAUUAGUGCAUGGUCAACCACAGACGUUCCUCUUAGAUUCUGGAGCUGAUGCAACGUCAAUGACUAGUGCACAUUAUGAGGGUCCUCUUUCUAGUCAAAUAAUUAACUCUGUAGGAAUUUCAGGAACUGACAUACCAUGUCCAGUAACGCCUCCUUUGGAGGUAAGAGCUCCUGGUUUAAUUCCAUUUUUCCAUAAAUUUACAAUCAUCCCUGGAGCUCCACUAAAUUUAUUAGGGCGAGAUUUAAUGCACAAAUUGAACAUGGACAUUAAAUUCACUGAUAACCUGGUUUCUUUUCUUUCCUGUCUGAGAGAUGAGAAGGGGAGAAUAGCUCUCCCAAAAUUAGGGCUAGUAAUCCUAAUUAGACACUACCAUGGACUGUCACAUACAAGCUGUGCAAAAGUAGUACAAGUGAUUAAUCAAUUGUAUUGUAUUGCAGAUGUACACAAAACAGCGAAGCUGAUUUUAGAUUCGUGUCUCACAUGUGCACAGGUAAAUCCGCACAAACCUGUUAAGCAUGAUGCAUUGCCUCAUCCAGAAGCACCAUUUCAACAUGUGCAAGUUGAUUUUACGCACAUGCCGCCCAUAGGAAAUUUGAGAUACCUUUUGGUCAUUGUGGAUAGAUUUUCAAAGUGGCCAGAAGCAUUUCCAUGUGCAAAGGAAGAUGCUAAAACAGUGGUAAAGAUUUUGACUAAGGAGAUAAUUCCUAGAUUUGGGAUACCUACCACUAUUGAAAGUGAUAAUGGAACGAUCACUCAGGCCCCAGCUUUGGGUCUGCCUGACUAUCGGAGAUCCUUUCAUUUGCAUGUCCGAGAAACAGAGGGGGUAGCCAUAGGGGUUCUGUUGCAACAGCAUGGUUCCACAUAUAGACCAUUAGCAUACUUGUCUAAGAAAUUAGAUAACAUUGUUACAGGUAUGCCAGCAUGUCUUCGUGCCGUGGCUGCAGCUGCUCUGGUGGUACAGAUGGCUGAGAGAAUGGUUCUUUCACACCCAAUGACACUGUACACGUCACAUCAGGUAGGCGCAAUUUUGCAUAAUAUGCAGACACAACACAUGACAGCGCAACGACGCUCAGGGUACGAGGCAACUUUGCUGGCCACCAAAAAUCUAAUGAUUCAGCCAACAGCGUCCAUUAACCCGGCACUGUUGGGAGUUUUAGGAAUGGCUGACAUGGUUGAUUAUGUUACAGAGCAUGAUUGCUUAAUUGAACUGACUUCCUCAUGUUCUUCCAGGGCCGGAUGGGGGGGAGCACAUAUAUGUUGA